AAGGCCUUACACUCAGUGACAAGACCACACACUUCCCACGGUGGUUUGUCUUGAUCUGUGAGGAUGCUUAUCAAAGUUAAGUUGUCUGACUCCAAAGCGCAACAGGCUUGCGUUCGUGCGCCAAACCACUUCAAUGCCUCCAACAAAGCUAGGGUUUACCGACCAAAAAAAAAAAACAAAGCUAGGGUUUCUAGUUGCAAGACUGAGGAAGCCCAAACCUCCAUCGCGAAGCCAUCGAUCAACUUCCCCGACUCAUCUUUGCACACUACGGCUGUGGCUCCAGCAGACGAUCCCACACCGAGCGACCCAUGCACAUUUGUCUUCAACGAGCCCUUCUUCGGUGGAGACCAAGUCGACGAUGAGUUUCCUCGUCGAAUUUCAUUUGUGUUUUUCAAUCGGUUCCAUCUCCUGAAGCUGCUCUGAAU
rnacentral:lncRNA from 1 species